rnacentral:lncRNA from 1 species
UGGGACAAUGGGACAAUGGACAAUGGAACAAUGGGACAAUGGACAAUGGAACAAUGGGACAAUGGACAAUGGGACAAUGGGACAAUGGGACAAUGGGACAAAGGGACAAGAGGUCAGUGGAGAAUGGGACAAAGUGACAACGGGGACAAGGGGACACCGUGCUGGCGCCACCCACCUGUCUGUGCUUGUCCAGGAUGUUCCCGAAGAGCCGGAAGGUGUCCGGGAAGCCCUGGGAGCGAGCGCACUCCCGCACGCUGACCACGCGGUGCUGCUCGGGGUGCAGCACGCGGCCCUGCAACGGCACCGCCACGCUGCACGGCUGCCCACCAGAGACCACCACGCCAACGUGGGGCCCACCAGAGACCACCACGCCAACGUGGAGACCACCACACCCAAUGUGAUGGCCACCAGAGACCACCACGCCAACGUGGAGACCACCACACCAACGUGGGGCCCACCAGAGACCACCACACCCAACGUGGAGACCACCAGAGACCACCACGCCAACAUGGGGCCCACCAGAGACCACCACGCCAACGUGGUGGCCACCAGAGACCACCACACCAACGUGGGGCCCACCAGAGACCACCACACCCAAUGUGGAGACCACCAGAGACCACCACACCAACGUGGGGCCCACCAGAGACCACCACGCCAAUGUGACAGCCACCAGAGACCACCACACCCAACGUGGUGCCCACCAGAGACCACCACGCCAACGUGGGGCCCACCAGAGACCACCAUGCCAACGUGACGGCCACCAGAGACCACCACACCAACGUGGUGCCCACCACACCCAACGUGAUGGCCACCAGAGACCACCACGCCAACGUGGUGGCCACCAGAGGCCACCACACCAACAUGGUGGCCACCACACAAACGUGCUGACCACCAGAGACCACCACACCAACGUGGUGCCCACCAGAGACCACCACGCCAACGUGGUGCCCACCAGAGAUCACCACACCAACGUGGUGGCCACCACACCAACGUGGUGCCCACCACAAACCACCACACCAACGUGGUGGCCACCACAGACCACCACACCAAUGUGAUGGCUACCACAGACCACUACUCCCAACAUGAUGGCCACCACAAACCACCACACCAACAUGGUGGCCACUACAGACCACCACACCCAACAUAGUGGAUGUUGGAAACCAUCACCCCAAUGUGGUGGAUGUUGGAGACCACCACACCCAACAUGGUGGAAGUUGGAGAC